GCUGGGCAUGAUGGUGCAUGCCUAUAAUCCCAGUGACUUGGGAGGCUGAGGCUGGAGGAUCACAAAUUUAAGGAUAGCCUCAGCAAUUUGGUGAGACUCUGUCUCAA
rnacentral:sRNA from 1 species